GAUGAAGAACGCAGCGAAAUGCGAUACGUAAUGUGAAUUGCAGAAUUCAGUGAAUCAUCGAGUCUUUGAACGCACAUUGCGCCCGCCAGUAUUCUGGCGGGCAUGCCUGUUCGAGCGUCAUUUCAACCAUCAAGCCCCCGGGCUUGUGUUGGGGACCUGCGGCUGCCCGCAGGCCCUGAAAACCAGUGGCGGGCUCGCUGUCACACCGAGCGUAGUAGCAUCAUCUCGCUCAGGGCGUGCUGCGGGUUCCGGCCGUUAAAAAGCCUCUAAUACCCAAGGUUGACCUCGGAUCAGGUAGGAAGACCCGCUGAACUUAAGCAUAUCAAUAAGCGGAGGA
rnacentral:misc_RNA from 1 species